GUUGGCCUGGACGCAGUAAACUUCCCUGGUCUGCAGGCCUCCCCCACAGAGCCCCGUCAGGACGUCGGCGUGGCUACCU